AACGACUCUCGGCAACGGAUAUCUUGGCUCUCGCAUCGAUGAAGAACGCAGCAAAAUGCGAUACUUGGUGUGAAUUGCAGAAUCCCGUGAAUCAUCGAGUUUUUGAACGCAAGUUGCGCCCGAAGCCUUUUGGUCGAGGGCACGUCUGCCUGGGUGUCACGC
rnacentral:rRNA from 3 species